rnacentral:rRNA from 1 species
AGAGUUUAGUCAUGGCUCAGAACGAACGCUGGCGGCACGCCUAACACAUGCAAGUCGAGCGCUACCUUCGGGUGGAGCGGCGGACGGGUUAGUAACGCGUGGGAACAUACCCUUUACUAAGGAAUAGCCACUGGAAACGGUGAGUAAUACCUUAUACGCCCUUCGGGGGAAAGAUUUAUCGGUAAAGGAUUGGCCCGCGUUAGAUUAGAUAGUUGGUGGGGUAACGGCCUACCAAGUCGACGAUCUAUAGCUGGUUUGAGAGGAUGAUCAGCAACACUGGGACUGAGACACGGCCCAGACUCCUACGGGAGGCAGCAGUGGGGAAUCUUAGACAAUGGGCGCAAGCCUGAUCUAGCGAUGCCGCGUGAGCGAUGAAGGCCUUAGGGUCGUAAAACUCUUUCACCAGGGACGAUAAUGACAGUACCUGGAAAAGAAACCCCGGCUAACUCCGUGCCAGCAGCCGCGGUAAUACGGAGGGGGUUAGCGUUGUUCGGAAUUACUGGGCGUAAAGCGUACGUAGGCGGACUAGUAAGUUAGGGG